GAGGCCCCUGUAACGAUUCCGCUUUUGCAACAGGCCCCGGAUAACCAGAAAGGGUGGCAUUCACGCGUCCUCGACGCGCGAUCAUCAGGCCGGUUCUGCGGGGAGUGAGUCACGUGAGCCCCGUGGGGCCCACUUCCGGCCACUGAAAAGAACAUUGACGGCGCAUGACCGGAAGCUCUCAGGGGGUCGCGACUUGCUUCUGCGAGCCGCUGGGGAGCAAGGAACGGACGCGUCAACUGUGGGAUCGGCUGUGACAUUCCGGAGGCUUGACUUCAUGCCGAUCGUGGAUGAAGGAGGCAGAGUCCCCUUCUGGGAGCUGCUGACGGCCACCAGCUAGAAGGCAUAAGCCUCGGACUCGGCCGAUGCCAUCCUCCAACUCGAGACACGAUCGGGACCAAGUGGGGCAAAGACAAAGGAGCAGGUGGACUUCAUCGUGGUGAAGGCCGCUGUUCUCCCGAGUGCGGGGGGCAGUGGCCCGUCCGGCUGUCUGUCGGUGCCCUGGGUUUCAUCCUGACCGAUUCCCUGGCAUAUUGUUUUACAGGAGCAGGUUAGGACUCGAACUAGCGACCGCUUUCACUUAUGAACCAUUUAAUGAUCUGCUCACAAACCCUUUUCUUCCUGCCCCCGAGUUGGGGACCCUGGAUUUAGAAACUGUCGGACCCCUGGGGUGAGGGCUGCUUGCUUCCACCCGCAAACGCAACAGUGCUCCCCCUGCAUUGAAGCCCCGACUGCCUCCUGGGAUAUCAGUCACUGCAAAUCACUGGAAGAGGGAGCUAUGCCCGUGACCAUCUUGGAGGAGAGAACUGGGUGGGGCCCAGCGACCCUAGCCCUGGGACAGGAAGCAGAGACUGGAGACUUCCUGCUUUUGGUUCAUCCUGACGGAGUCUGCAGGGAGGACGAUGUUUCAAGAAGAGAGGUCACAAAGGACAUCUACGGGAUGCUUUCAACGUUACGGGUGGCGACAUCACGAUGUGCUACAUCAUGAAAGAAAGAUGAAAGCAUCUACGUAGCACAGGGCAUUGGGCUCGGUAUUCGAGUUCACAUGACAUUCCAGGCUGGCUCUGAACAGGACAGAACUGUUGUCCAGAAAAUGUUGGCCAAGUUGUGCUCGGCUGUGAGAAGUCGGUUCUCAUGUUCUCUGGCGUGUGAGAGAAUGCUCUGUCUUUCUCCAUAAACCCCAAGGGAAGGUGCCCUAUGGAAGCGGGAUCAUAUCAUGUUUUGCCUUUUCGGACCGGCUUCUUUCACUGAGCGUGAUGCUUUCAAGGUUCACCCGGGUCGGAGCGUGUAUGAGAAUAUCCUCCCUUUUAAAGGCUGAAUAGUGUUUAAUUGUAUGUCGCAGCCAUAUUUCAUUUAUCCGCUCACGUGUUGAUGGACUUUCGGGUUGUUUCCACCUUUUGGCUACUGUGCAUAAUGCUGGUAUAGACAUUCGUGUACAAGUUUUUGCGUGGGCAUGUUUUCUCUUGCAUAUGUCGCUGGGAGCCACGCUGCUCUGUAUCAUGGUAAUUCCACGUUUAACCACCUGAAAAACCCCCGGAUUUCGUUCCAAAGAAGCUUCUCUAGUUUACAUUCCUUCCAGCACUGUAUAAGGGCUCCCGCUUCUGGACAUCUUUACCAACAUUUAUGAUCGUUUCUCUCUCUCUCUCUCUCUUUUUUUUUUUAAUUAUAGCCAUCUUGUGGGUGUGAUCUCUGCGUGGUGAGUUUCAAUAUUCUCCAAUUCUGCACAGUUCGGGACGUGCUUUAUUGUCAAAGUAAGGGUCAGAUACAGACUGACCACAAAUGGUCCCCUUUCUUCACCAGUGAUCAAAUCAACAUAAAUGGCAUUUACGAACAUCGUUUCGGGACUUUAAGCCCUUUAUCCCCCCGUCCCUCGCCACCGCCCUCCAAAAAAAAGAUGGUGAAAUUAAUACAAUGUCUUAUCCAAGUAUUAACCUAAAAGGAGAAAAGAAUACAACAAUUUUCAUGCUUCUUUCUCUCUGAAGCAUGAACCUUCUGUUUAUUGACUACGGCAAAUAAAACAUGGUGCAUAUCGUCUCUGCGAACAGCUCAGUGCCUUCUGGUAGAUUUCACAUGGAGACUAAAGCCAAUUUUAUUCUCAACCAAAUUUAGAAAGUAAGUUUUGUACCUGGAAUUGGAUGCUCAAGGUGAUAUUAUUACUUGUCCUACCCUGUAAUAAAACUUCACACAGACCCCAUUUUCUUUGCUUUCCUCUCUUUCUCUCUCUCCUCUUUUUUGCAUUCUUCCUAUCUUGUUUGAGGUGGCCACGAUUUAGAGAUGAAGUAUAUACUUCUAAAAAAGGAUUUCUUUAGCUUUUCACCACGAAGCCUACCAAUUUCAACAGCUAAACUCGUACAAAUUUUUAACUCCCUUUCAGUUUCUACUCAAACGGCAUUUUGUUUUUGGGCAAAAAGCUCCAGAUCUCUCAAUCCAAAUGCAUUUAUUUGUUUGUUUAUGUAUUUACCUAUGUAUUUACCUAUUUAUUUAUUUUUGCUUCCUAUGUUGGAAGAGGUAUCAUUUAGAUUCUG